rnacentral:rRNA from 1 species
UCCGGCAACAGAGCCCCUCGGUGAUUAUGUAGAGCGUCCUGGCUAGAGGUGGGCGAACGGGUGAGUAACACGUGGACAACCUGCCUCUAAGCAGGGGAUAACAUUUGGAAACAGAUGCUAAUACCGUAUAACAACACAUUUCGCAUGAAGUGUGUUUAAAAGGGGCUUCGGCCUCACUUAGAGAUGGAUCCGCGGUGCAUUAGUUAGUUGGUGAGGUAAAGGCUUACCAAGACGAUGAUGCAUAGCCGAGUUGAGAGACUGAUCGGCCACAUUGGGACUGAGACACGGCCCAAACUCCUACGGGAGGCUGCAGUAGGGAAUCUUCCACAAUGGGCGCAAGCCUGAUGGAGCAACGCCGCGUGUGUGAUGAAGGCUUUCGGGUCGUAUAUCACUGUUGGAUGGAAAGAAUAGUUAAUGUAGGAGAUGAUGUUAAUGCCCCCGCUGCCAUACCAAAAGGGGACGGCAAAAUAGGUGCCGGCGGCCGCGGUAAUACAUAAAA